rnacentral:tRNA from 1 species
AGAGAGGUGCCGGAGUCUGGUUUAUCGGGCCGGUCUUGAAAACCGUUGGGGGCGAAAGCUCUCCCUGGGUUCGAAUCCCAGUCUCUCUGCCA